ensembl:lncRNA
UGUUGCAUCAUGGUCCACAUUUAUUUAACAUUCGACAAUGUGUUUUAGUGUACACAAACCUUUUUCAUUUUGACGCUUAACAACUCCGACACUCAAAUAGAGACAUUGAUUGAACUACUACCCAUUUUAAGAUGGUGUUUAAAUAGAGCUGCAUAAUACACUGUUCACAGCAGACAUGUUUGUUUAUAUACACAAUGCUAAAUAACUCAAAGAAAAAUAAAAUAGUUUAAAAAUUGCUUUAAUGGGUGCAGUUUGACAAGACUGUCAUCAGUCACUACAUAUAAAAGCUUAAAUUAAUUAAGACAAUAGGUAAUAAAUCUAAAAGCUGCUUUGUGAAGGCUGUUGGGAUACGAUAGUGUCAGGGUGAUGGUACAGUAGAUGUUGGGAUAGGAUAGUGUCAGGGUGAUGGUAAAGUAGAUGUUUGUGGACAGACAGGGAAAUAGGAGUGACAGACAGUGAAAUAGGAGUGACAGACAGUGAAAUAGGAGUGACAGACAGCGCCAAAUGGCUCUGGUCAAGAGCAGUGUGCUAUAUAGGAAACAGGAAGCCAUUUGGGAAGCACCCCCAGUCUACAUUAUGUCCUGUCUACAUGUCUACAUAGAAGAGGCCAAGCAUCUCCUCUGGGGUAAAGGGUCUAGAAUGUUCUAUAAAGUGUAAUGCCCUAAUAUUGUAAACUGGGAAAGAGACAACCAAAACCAGAAACAUACGGCCACUCACUGCAAUCAAAUCAAAUAUUAAAAGCUUAAUAUAAUAAUAAUUUACAUUCUACAUGACUGUAUGUGAGAUUUCAGUGACUAUUUGGUUUUUCCUGAUUGAAUCAAUCGAACAAGACCCAUUGGUACAGACCUCUGACCCAUUGGUACAGACCUCUGACCCAUUGGUACAGGCCUCUGACCCAUUGGUACAGACCUCUGACCCAUUGGUACAGACCUCUGAUGAUCUUUAUACCGUAGAGAUAAUAUGUUUAGAAAUGGCAUAUGCCAACUCUUUGUCACUGGAUUAAAGUGAAUGAUACCACUCAAGUUCAUACACUCAUAUUCAUCUCCAAACAGACAUGACGUAUAUAAUAGUCGGCUGGGCAAAAGGACCAGGUGAUGAUUAGCUGGACAAACUGCCUGACGAUGGAGAAAUCCCAAAUGGCACCCUAUUCCCUAUGUAGUGCACUCAUUAUUAUUUUUUUUAUAUCAGGGCCCAUAGUGCUCCUAUAGCGCUCUGGUCAAAAGUAAUGAGCUUUAUAGGGGAAUAGGGGGUGCUAUUUUGGACAGAGCAACGAUGCUCUGACGGGUGGAUGAACAGAGAACAGCAAUAGAGCAGAAUGAGAAAUGUUCCUCAAAGCAUAAUGGAAACAGAGGCACUACAUCAUGUUCCACGUGCAAAUCCUUCUUCAGAAACGUUUAAAACGUUUAAAAAAUAAAAAAUAAACGUUUUAUCCGAUCCCCAGUGUACUAGAAAAAGGUUAAGCUUGUUUUCAUUGACAUUAUUCUUCUGUUCACAAGGCAAAAGGACCGUUCUGUCUGUUUCCUCAUAUUCGGGUUGGAAUUAGAAUUCAUUAUUAUUAUUAUAUUAUUUCUAUUGUCAUUUCCAAUAUAUUCACAAUCCUCUCUAGCUGAAUAAAUAGCUCAAGGUACAACACUUUGAAAAAAAUCUAUCUAUGUGAUGAUGAUGGUUAAAUUCAAGUAAUGUAGAAGCUGGCCCUGUAUCAGUGUUGUUAUUGGAGGAAGCUGGCCCUGUAUCAGUGUUGUUAUUGGGGGAAGCUGGCCCUGUAUCAGUGUUGUUAUUGGGGGAAGCUGGCCCUGUAUCAGUGUUGUUAUUGGGGAAGCUGGUCCUGUAUCAGUGUUGUUAUUGGGGAAAUCUGGUCCUGUUUCAGUGUUGUUAUAGGGGGAAGCUGGCCCUGUAUCAGUUGUUAUUGGGGGAAAUGUUUCAGUGUUGUUAUUGGGGGAAGCUGGUCCUGUAUCAGUGUUGUUAUUGGAGGAAGCUGGCCCUGUAUCAGU